rnacentral:lncRNA from 1 species
GGCUACCCAUUCAAGACUGUUUCCACACUGUGGAAGCUUUGUACUUUCACUCUGCUCAAUAAAGCCUGCAGCUUUUUCUCACUCUCAGUCCAUGUCUCUUUCACUCACUGUGGUCAGCUUCCACACCAUUUCUUUGGUGUGGCUUGGCAAGAACCUCAGGUGUUACAUCUUGGCGAGCCAGACAGGAGACUCCAGAAAAGGUAUCUAGAUCAUCAUGCAGGGUGAUUUUCCUGUACCAGUCCAAUGCCUCCAGAGGAAGAUCAUACAUUUGCCAUUUUACUGCUUAGUACGCAUGCUUGAGCCUGCUCGCCCAACUGCUGAGAUCUUAUUCAGAAACUGCUGAUCACCAACUCCAGGUGUUUUUAUUACACAAGACAAAAACGGAAAAACAGUAACAAAUGAUUGGUUAAGCCUUUCAAAACAAAGAAGUUAUGCCUGGAGUGGGAGGAACAUUACACUAUACUUCUUUCUCCUCCUUCAUUAGUGAAGGUCACUGGAAUAGGUUCAUUACACUCAAGCAAAGGCCUGGGGAAAUGAUAGAAUUACCUCUGUUGACCCAGAAGAGCACCAAAAGCACCAGUGUGCAGAAAUCAGAGACCUCAAGCUAAAAGUCAUAAAAGGACAAGAACCUGGAAGUCGUCGAACUGUGGAAGCAAAAGACCUGUAAUGCUCCUGCUUGCCGAGCUGUGAGCAGUGGUAGUAAAAGAGCAGUAACAUUCUCUCCUGCUUGCCAAACAGGAGAGAAGCCACUGGCACCACUCCCUCCCACUCACUGAACUAUAGAAGAGAAAAAAUUGAAACACCAAAAUUGGGGAAAUGCGACUUUUGCGAAAAUUUGAAAGUGCAUGCUUCACAGAAGGAAGGGGGAGCUGGUCUAUUAUGUCUCACUAUAACAAGACUAAAAUUUUGCAAAUAAAUUGUUCCUGCCAUAAUUUAUCCUUGGUAGAAAUGAAGAAAUUGGAGAGAGAAAAAAUUGGAUUCUAGGUCCUGACCAUUGUUUUUGAAUUUUUAUUAUUUUCCUACAAUUUAGGCUAAAUUCUGAACUAUUUGCUGGCUACAAGAGGCCUCUAAAAAAGAGCUGGGUUUUAGUUUUCUUCAUGCUCUUUAAAAACUGGCAUAUAAUGGUGUGUAUCUCUCGUUGUUUUACUUCUAAGAAACUGAAGGCAUGAUAUUCUGAAGACUAGAGGUGAUUCAAUAGCCUAUGAAUCUUCUUCAUUUGGAACCCCACUGGGCCUGAUCUGUUUCCCAUCACCAAUGCACUUCUGCUAAACCUAUAUCCUAUCAAGUACUCUCCCUAAAUGCUCAGAGACCAUAACAGAAGAUGAGGGUGUGUGAGAUUAUAAAAGCCAAAUUAGUGGAGUGGAAUCUGGAGGCUAAAGCAACUCCAUCUUGGAUGCUAAUCUGCCAUGUUGGCUUCUGAUUAACCCCAGUUCUGGAGGGCCUCUGAGGUUUCCAAUUUAUCUACUGUCCCUUGUGUAAGAACAAGUACUUAUCAUAAAUCCUGCUAUUAGGGCAAAUUUCUACCCAUUCCCUCUGAAGCAUGUGCACCUCUCCUCUACAUGUAAUCUCCCCUACAAUAGAUAAACCCCUCUGGGUCUGGGGGCUAAUAGUGUGGGAACCCAUCAUCUUGCCUCACUGCUGCACAAGCCACAGGUGUGGCUUCUGUUUCUAAGUCCCUAUUAAAUGUUUCUAGAUACCAGAUGUAUCAACCUCUUUCUUCAGCCUCUCAGCUUCCUGGGACUUUGGGGUUGGUUUGCAUAGACCUACCCACCAAAAAACUCUCACAGAGUCAGUCUUAAAUACAUACAGAGCACGGUUGGGAAAAUUCCAUGAAUAUUUAUAGGGGAAGUCAUGUGCUUGAAAAUUGGAUAAACUUGUAUGUAACAUACAUUCCAUUUUGACCUGGGGGUGAGGUUUCAGCUGGGAUUCGACUGUUUAUGUCAAAAGGUAAACUCUAGGGCAAAAAGAAUUUGGACAUAGUCUCUGCAAGCUGACUGAAACUGGCUUAAGAUCUAUGGUCACUUAUCAAUAAAGAAUGUGAUAAAAA